rnacentral:rRNA from 1 species
GCCAGACUCCUACGGGAGGCAGCAGUGGGGAAUAUUGGGCAAUGGGCGCAAGCCUGACCCAGCAACGCCGCGUGAAGGAAGGAGGCUUUCGGGUUGUAAACUUCUUUUGACAGGGAAGAGUAGAAGACGGUACCUGUCGAAUAAGCCACGGCUAACUACGUGCCAGCAGCCGCGGUAAUACGUAGGUGGCAAGCGUUGUCCGGAUUUACUGGGUGUAAAGGGCGUGUAGCCGGGUUGACAAGUCAGAUGUGAAAUCCUGUGGCUUAACCGCAGAACUGCAUUUGAAACUGUUGAUCUUGAGUACUGGAGAGGCAGACGGAAUUCCUAGUGUAGCGGUGAAAUGCGUAGAUAUUAGGAGGAACACCAGUGGCGAAGGCGGUCUGCUGGACAGCAACUGACGGUGAGGCGCGAAAGCGUGGGGAGCGAACAGGAUUAGAUACCCUCGUAUG